AUUGAACGCUGGCGGCAGGCCUAACACAUGCAAGUCGAGCGGAUGAAGGGAGCUUGCUCCUGGAUUCAGCGGCGGACGGGUGAGUAAUGCCUAGGAAUCUGCCUGGUAGUGGGGGAUAACGUCCGGAAACGGGCGCUAAUACCGCAUACGUCCUGAGGGAGAAAGUGGGGGAUCUUCGGACCUCACGCUAUCAGAUGAGCCUAGGUCGGAUUAGCUAGUUGGUGGGGUAAGGGCCUACCAAGGCGACGAUCCGUAACUGGUCUGAGAGGAUGAUCAGUCACGCUGGAACUGAGACACGGUCCAGACUCCUACGGGAGGCAGCAGUGGGGAAUAUUGGACAAUGGGCGAAAGCCUGAUCCAGCCAUGCCGCGUGUGUGAAGAAGGUCUUCGGAUUGUAAAGCACUUUAAGUUGGGAGGAAGGGCAGUAAGUUAAUACCUUGCUGUUUUGACGUUACCAACAGAAUAAGCACCGGCUAACUUCGUG
rnacentral:rRNA from 1 species